rnacentral:rRNA from 1 species
AGAGUUUGAUCCUGGCUCAGAGUGAACGCUGGCGGCAGGCCUAAUACAUGCAAGUCGAACGGCAGCACAGCAGAGCUUGCUCUGUGGGUGGCGAGUGGCGGACGGGUGAGGAAUACGUGGGAAUCUGCCCAGUCGUGGGGAUAACGUAGGGAACUUACGCUAAUACCGCAUGCGCCCUUCGGGGGAAAGCCGGGGACCUUCGGGCCUGGCGCGAUUGGAUGAGCCCACGUCGGAUUAGCUAGUUGGCGGGUAAAGGCCCACCAAGGCGACGAUCCGUAGCUGGUCUGAGAGGAUGAUCAGCCACACUGGAACUGAGACACGGUCCAGACUCCUACGGGAGGCAGCAGUAGGGAAUAUUGGACAAUGGGCGCAAGCCUGAUCCAGCCAUGCCGCGUGAGUGAAGAAGGCCCUCGGGUUGUAAAGCUCUUUUGUCCGGAAAGAAAAGCGCCGGGUUAAUACCCUGGUGUCCUGACGGUACCGGAAGAAUAAGCACCGGCUAACUUCGUG